rnacentral:rRNA from 1 species
GGGACACGUGGUAUCCUGUCUGAAUAUGGGGGGACCAUCCUCCAAGGCUAAAUACUCCUGACUGACCGAUAGUGAACCAGUACCGUGAGGGAAAGGCGAAAAGAACCCCGGCGAGGGGAGUGAAAAAGAACCUGAAACCGUGUACGUACAAGCAGUGGGAGCACAGAGCAAUCUGUGUGACUGCGUACCUUUUGUAUAAUGGGUCAGCGACUUAUAUUCUGUAGCAAGGUUAACCGAAUAGGGGAGCCGAAGGGAAACCGAGUCUUAACUGGGCGUUAAGUUGCAGGGUAUAGACCCGAAACCCGGUGAUCUAGCCAUGGGCAGGUUGAAGGUUGGGUAACACUAACUGGAGGACCGAACCGACUAAUGUUGAAAAAUUAGCGGAUGACUUGUGGCUGGGGGUGAAAGGCCAAUCAAACCGGGAGAUAGCUGGUUCUCCCCGAAAGCUAUUUAGGUAGCGCCUCGUGAAUUCAUCUCCGGGGGUAGAGCACUGUUUCGGCAAGGGGGUCAUCCCGACUUACCAACCCGAUGCAAACUGCGAAUACCGGAGAAUGUUAUCACGGGAGACACACGGCGGGUGCUAACGUCCGUCGUGAAGAGGGAAACAACCCAGACCGCCAGCUAAGGUCCCAAAGUCAUGGUUAAGUGGGAAACGAUGUGGGAAGGCCCAGACAGCCAGGAUGUUGGCUUAGAAGCAGCCAUCAUUUAAAGAAAGCGUAAUAGCUCACUGGUCGAGUCGGCCUGCGCGGAAGAUGUAACGGGGCUAAACCAUGCACCGAAGCUGCGGCAGCGACGCUGAUGCGUUGUUGGGUAGGGGAGCGUUCUGUAAGCCUGCGAAGGUGUGCUGUGAGGCAUGCUGGAGGUAUCAGAAGUGCGAAUGCUGACAUAAGUAACGAUAAAGCGGGUGAAAAGCCCGCUCGCCGGAAGACCAAGGGUUCCUGUCCAACGUUAAUCGGGGCAGGGUGAGUCGACCCCUAAGGCGAGGCCGAAAGGCGUAGUCGAUGGGAAACAGGUUAAUAUUCCUGUACUUGGUGUUACUGCGAAGGGGGGACGGAGAAGGCUAUGUUGGCCGGGCGACGGUUGUCCCGGUUUAAGCGUGUAGGCUGGUUUUCCAGGCAAAUCCGGAAAACUAAGGCUGAGGCGUGAUGACGAGGCACUACGGUGCUGAAGCAACAAAUGCCCUGCUUCCAGGAAAAGCCUCUAAGCAUCAGGUAACAUCAAAUCGUACCCCAAACCGACACAGGUGGUCAGGUAGAGAAUACCAAGGCGCUUGAGAGAACUCGGGUGAAGGAACUAGGCAAAAUGGUGCCGUAACUUCGGGAGAAGGCACGCUGAUAUGUAGGUGAAGCGACUUGCUCGUGGAGCUGAAAUCAGUCGAAGAUACCAGCUGGCUGCAACUGUUUAUUAAAAACACAGCACUGUGCAAACACGAAAGUGGACGUAUACGGUGUGACGCCUGCCCGGUGCCGGAAGGUUAAUUGAUGGGGUCAGCGCAAGCGAAGCUCUUGAUCGAAGCCCCGGUAAACGGCGGCCGUAACUAUAACGGUCCUAAGGUAGCGAAAUUCCUUGUCGGGUAAGUUCCGACCUGCACGAAUGGCGUAAUGAUGGCCAGGCUGUCUCCACCCGAGACUCAGUGAAAUUGAACUCGCUGUGAAGAUGCAGUGUACCCGCGGCAAGACGGAAAGACCCCGUGAACCUUUACUAUAGCUUGACACUGAACAUUGAGCCUUGAUGUGUAGGAUAGGUGGGAGGCUUUGAAGUGUGGACGCCAGUCUGCAUGGAGCCGACCUUGAAAUACCACCCUUUAAUGUUU